rnacentral:rRNA from 1 species
AUGAUAGCUAGUGAUUUUAAUGAAAUUUUGUAUUCCCAUGAAAAAGAGGGUGGAGUGCCGAGGCCAAUGCACAUGAUGCAGAACUUUUGAGAUGCCCUUGUUGAUUGCGAGAUGGAGGAUAUGGGAUGUAACGGUGACCUUUACACUUGGAGGAGGAGGAGGCUUAGGGAAAGGCUGGACAGAGCGGUAUGUAAUGGCCAGUUUCAUGGUUUAUUCCCAAGUACAAAAGUCACUAACACUUCUCAUAUAAAGUCGGAUCACAGACCCCUCUUCAUUGAUACCGAGGGGGAUGGGCAGGUAGUUCCUCAAACCCAUCGGAAGUGUUUUGAGUCGAGGUGGUUGCAAGAGGAUAACAUUAUGCAAGUGGUGUCCAAUGCGUGGGAACGUUCAGACCCGACAGCGCCAAUUGCAGAACGAACAGCGAGUGUCCAUUCCACUUUGCAUGAGUGA